GACGAACGCUGGCGGCGUGCUUAACACAUGCAAGUCGAACGGAAAGGCGCUGCUUGUGUGGGGUGCUCGAGUGGCGAACGGGAGAGUAACCUGGGAAUAACCUGCCCUUGACUUUGGGAUAACUUCAGGAAACUGGGGCUAAUACCGGAUAGGAGCUCCUGCUGCAGGGUGGGGGUUGGAACGUUUCGGUGGUUGGGGAUGGAUUCGCGGCUUAUCAGCUGGUUGGUGGGGUAGUGGCUUACCAAGGCUUUGACGGGUAGCCGGCGUGGGAGGUGGGCCAGCCACAUUGGGACUGCGAUAGGGCGCAGUGGCGAACGGGAGGCAGCAGUGGGGAAUAUGGUACAGUGGGCGGAAGCCUGAUGCAGCAGCGCCGGGUGCGGGAUGAAGGCUUUGGGGUUGUAAACCGCUUUCGCCUGUGACGAAGCUUGAGUGACGGUAAUGGGUAAAGAAGCACCGGCUAACUACGUG
rnacentral:rRNA from 1 species